rnacentral:rRNA from 1 species
UACGUAGGGGGCAAGCGUUGUCCGGAUUUAUUGGGCGUAAAGAGCGUGUAGGCGGCCAUGCAGGUCAGCUGUGAAAACUCGAGGCUCAACCUCGAGACGUCGGUUGAAACCGCAUGGCUAGAGUCCGGAAGAGGAGAGUGGAAUUCCCGGUGUAGCGGUGAAAUGCGCAGAUAUCGGGAAGAACACCCGUGGCGAAGGCGGUUCUCUGGGACGGUACUGACGCUGAGACGCGAAAGCGUGGGGAGCGAACAGG